rnacentral:lncRNA from 1 species
UUAAACUUCAAAUUCACUUCAUGGAAUAGUCAAACUCAUAAAUGAAAUCUCCUAAAAACAUUAAAAUAUAAAACAUGAGAGUAUACAUCGACUCUCUAACAAAAAGAUUAGACAAAACUCACAAACGUUUCCUAGUGUUACAUAUCAGAGCACAUAAACUAAAACACAUAAAGAAAAAGGAAGAAACAACCUCUAGUCAUCCUCCAACUCU